UACGGAGGGGGCUAGCGUUGUUCGGAAUUACUGGGCGUAAAGCGCACGUAGGCGGCUUUGUAAGUUAGAGGUGAAAGCCCGGGGCUCAACUCCGGAAUUGCCUUUAAGACUGCAUCGCUAGAAUUGUGGAGAGGUAAGUGGAAUUCCGAGUGUAGAGGUGAAAUUCGUAGAUAUUCGGAAGAACACCAGUGGCGAAGGCGACUCACUGGACAUGUAUUGACGCUGAGGUGCGAAAAGCGUGGGGAGCAAACAGG
rnacentral:rRNA from 1 species